UUUUUUAAAGGCAAAAAAAAAAAAAAAAAAAGCCUCUUUGGAUUCCUUUUAAUUAGUGGAAACAGGGACUAAUGUAGGUGUUCUGGAAAGGUAAAGUGGCAUAAUGCAGUUUUUUGAAAAGCGAGGGAUACCCGUCGGUGCUGUGGAGAGCAAGAAAAGGUGAGCCAGAGAGAGGGGAGGGAGAGCAUUCCUGCCAUUGUUAUCCUCCUAAUUGUGACUUGGGAAAGUUGUCUACGUCAUCAACCGUGAUCAACACGAGGGGCAUAGCAGUGGAUGCGGGCUUCCCUGUUAACCCUAAACUCGCAGAGUUGACGUGGCAUCGUCCCCCGACGGGAGGGCAGCGUGCAGGCGGGUGGGUGAUGCAGAGAGAAUCUGAGCUCAAUCUGGAAGCAGAGCUCAGAGUCUACCCGCAGGAACAGAUGGGUGAACAGACCACUGUGAUGUCUGCUUGAUAACAAGCUUGCAAGAUUUAACCUUUCUGCGAAAUGAAACCUCUUGGGCCUCCAGUUCUCACUCUUCAGAUACAGAGGAUGUGAGUUGCACCCUGAGCCCUCUCGCUCUCAGCUGAGUGAAGCGUGCUUCGCUAGGUUUACUUGCAACUGACAUGUUUUCUGGUGAAGAAAAUCAUGAUGGCAAAGUCUGUGCAGAGGCACGACACUGAAGAGUCUGAAAUGACACCCGAUUUUGAGAAGGAAAGGUAUGAGGACAGAAGGUCAGGCAAAUAGAAAGGGUCACGGAUAGGGCACUGGAGACCCGAGUCUGAGCACUUCUGCCUCUUCGGAGGAGGAAUUCCGAAUUGGCCAACUGGAGGCAUUGAAAUAAGUCCCAGAAAAAAUGGGGUGGGGUUGGCUUGAGAAAAUAGAGUACCUUGAACGGAAGAAGGGAUGUUCUGCUUUAGCAAAACUAGAGCUGAGUAAAGAAAGUGGAGUGAAAUUAUAAUGGUGUUGGAGCACCUGGUUGGCUGAGUUGGUUAAACGUCCGACUGUUGGUUUCGGCUCGGGUCAUGUUCUUGCGGUUCGUGAGUUCAAGUCCUCCAUCAGGCUCUGCACUGACAGCACAGAGCCUGCUUGGGAUUCUCUCUCUCCCUC